rnacentral:rRNA from 1 species
UCCGUAGGUGAACCUGCGGAGGGAUCAUAAAAAAGAUUACAACUCCCAAACCCCUGUGAACAUACCAAUUGUUGCCUCGGCGGAUCAGCCCGCUCCCGGUAAAACGGGACGGCCCGCCAGAGGACCCCUAAACUCUGUUUCUAUAUGUAACUUCUGAGUAAAACCAUAAAUAAAUCAAAACUUUCAACAACGGAUCUCUUGGUUCUGGCAUCGAUGAAGAACGCAGCAAAAUGCGAUAAGUAAUGUGAAUUGCAGAAUUCAGUGAAUCAUCGAAUCUUUGAACGCACAUUGCGCCCGCCAGUAUUCUGGCGGGCAUGCCUGUUCGAGCGUCAUUUCAACCCUCAAGCCCAGCUUGGUGUUGGGACUCGCGAGUUAAAUCGCGUUCCCCAAAUUGAUUGGCGGUCACGUCGAGCUUCCAUAGCGUAGUAGUAAAACCCUCGUUACUGGUAAUCGUCGCGGCCACGCCGUUAAACCCCAACUUCUGAAUGUUGACCUCGGAUCAGGUAGGAAUACCCGCUGAACUUAAGCAUAUCAAUAAGCGGAGGAA